AGAAGUCAAGGUUGGUUCUUGCCCAGAGUGUCAGUCAAAAGGACCAUUCAGUGUCAAUGUUGAGCAGACAAUAUACAGGAACUAUCAGAAACUGACACUACAAGAAAGCCCAGGAAUUGUGCCAGCUGGUCGGCUUCCUAGAUACAAGGAAGUGAUACUGUUGAAUGAUCUAAUUGAUUGUGCCCGACCAGGAGAAGAGAUAGAAGUCACAGGAAUCUACACUAACAACUUUGACUUGUCCCUAAAUACCAAGAAUGGGUUUCCUGUCUUUUCUACUGUGAUUGAAGCAAAUUAUGUUACAAAAAAGCAAGACCUCUUUUCAGCUUACAAGCUAACUCAGGAGGACAAAGAAGAAAUUGAGAAGCUGGCCAAAGACCCUCGGAUUGGAGAACGAAUAUUCAAGUCCAUUGCCCCGUCAAUUUAUGGCCAUGAAGACAUAAAGACUGCCAUAGCUCUUGCAAUGUUUGGGGGCCAAGAGAAAAAUGUUGAAGG
rnacentral:misc_RNA from 1 species